AGGGUCGGUUAGGCUCGAAAUGCCCUGUCAGGGGCGGGAGCCUGUGAAACACCUCAGCCCAGGCCUGGGUGCGAGAGCUCGCGACGUGCCCCGCCAGGAGGGGAGGCGCGCGGUGGGGGGUGCUGGGCCUAGCAGCCAGUGGGCUGGGCUUUACUCCUCCACCCCCACGCCCUCAGGCACCACCCUCACCCCAGUGGCAGGGCCUGAGUGGACGUGCGGCCUGGCGCCUGCCCCGAGGAGCUCCCAGUCUGAGGCCGCGAGAUGGACAGACCGAGUGCUGUGAUACAGAACUGUUUAUGGUGACCGCAUUUUCAACACAUGGGUAGAAACAGAAGUGAUCUUUGCAGCUAUAGAUGCUUCUUAAUGUUAGUUCAAGAUAAAGAUGCUCACAGAGGCUGCUGCUGUAUAAAAAGAGACAGAUGUACUGAAGAGCUGCUUGAUAGAUGCUGGAGAGAAAUAUGCCGGUUUCUAAACUGGUGGGGACACUAUUUUAUUUUCUAUCUCUAUAUAAUGUUUUAUUUGUUCCAGCAGUUGUUUAGAAAAAUCCAAAUGGGUCUCUUUCAGUUCUUCAAUACCCAAAGGAAUAUUUGGCUAUGAGAACAGGAUAUGAUUAUGAUGUGUUAAAGGAGUUCUGAUUUCCUUUCAGAAAAAUCAAAGUAGUUUGGAUCCACAAGAGCAAAAUCAGCAUCUCCAGACAUAUUGUCAAUAUGGAUUUGAGAUAUUAACAAUAGGGUGAUUCUUCAAUAACUAAAACAACGAGGAGUCUGGUGGUA
rnacentral:lncRNA from 1 species